UACGGAGGGUGCAAGCGUUAUCCGGAUUCACUGGGUUUAAAGGGUGCGUAGGUGGGUUUGUAAGUCAGUGGUGAAAUCUUUGGGCUUAACCCGAAAACUGCCAUUGAUACUAUCUGUCUUGAAUCCCGUGGAGGUGAGCGGAAUAUGUCAUGUAGCGGUGAAAUGCUUAGAUAUGACAUAGUACACCAAUUGCGAAGGCAGCUCGCUACACGAAGAUUGACUCUGAGGCACGAAAGCGUGGGGAUCAAACAGG
rnacentral:rRNA from 1 species